rnacentral:rRNA from 1 species
AACGAACGCUGGCGGCAUGCCUAACACAUGCAAGUCGAACGAGACCGUCGGGUCUAGUCGCGCACGGGUGCGUAACGGGGGGGAACAUGCCCUUGGGUUCGGCCUAACUUCCCGAAAGGGGUGCUAAUAGCGGAUAAUGUCUUCGGACCAAAGAUUUAUCGCCUGUGGGUGGGCCCACGUUGGAUUAGCUAGUUGGUAGGGUAAAAGCCUACCAGGGCGACGAUCGAUAGCUGGUCUGAGAGGAGGAUCAGCCACCCUGGGACUGAGGCACGGCCCAGACUCGUACGAGGGGCAGAAGCGGGGAAUAGUGGACAAGGGGCGAGAACGAGGUCCAGCAGUGCGGAGUGAGUGUUGAUGGCGGAAGGGUUGUAAUGCUCUUUUACCCGGGGGGAAUGAGGGUACCGGAAGAAAAAACGCCGGGGAACUCCGUG